rnacentral:rRNA from 1 species
ACGGGAGGCAGCAGUGGGGAAUAUUGCACAAUGGGCGAAAGCCUGAUGCAGCGACGCCGCGUGAACGAAGAAGUAUUUCGGUAUGUAAAGUUCUAUCAGCAGGGAAGAUAAUGACGGUACCUGACUAAGAAGCACCGGCUAAAUACGUGCCAGCAGCCGCGGUAAUACGUAUGGUGCAAGCGUUAUCCGGAUUUACUGGGUGUAAAGGGAGCGCAGGCGGCUUAGCAAGUCUGAUGUGAAAUCCCGGGGCUCAACCCCGGAACUGCAUUGGAAACUGUUGAGCUAGAGUGUCGGAGGGGUAAGUGGAAUUCCUAGUGUAGCGGUGAAAUGCGUAGAUAUUAGGAGGAACACCAGUGGCGAAGGCGGCUUACUGGACGAUAACUGACGCUGAGGCUCGAAAGCGUGGGGAGCGAACAGGAUUAGAUACCCUGGUA